rnacentral:pre_miRNA from 1 species
GUCAUUCUCCUAGUGUUCACUGUUUGCCCUUAUGUGCCUUUGUAAUCCAUAAGGCACGCGGUGAAUGCCAAGAGCAGACUG